rnacentral:rRNA from 1 species
UUCGGUGUUCGAGUUGUAAUUUGAAGAUGGUAACCUUGGGUUUGGCUCUUGUCUAUGUUCCUUGGAACAGGACGUCAUAGAGGGUGAGAAUCCCGUCUGAUGAGAUGCCCAUUCCUAUGUAAGGUGCUAUCGAAGAGUCGAGUUGUUUGGGAAUGCAGCUCUAAGUGGGUGGUAAAUUCCAUCUAAAGCUAAAUAUUGGCGAGAGACCGAUAGCGAACAAGUACAGUGAUGGAAAGAUGAAAAGAACUUUGAAAAGAGAGUGAAAAAGUACGUGAAAUUGUUGAAAGGGAAGGGCAUUAGAUCAGACUUGGUGUUUUACGAUUAUCUUCUCUUCUUGAGUUGUGCACUCGUAUUUCACUGGGCCAGCAUCGAUUCGGAUGGCAAGAUAAUGGCAGUUGAAUGUGGCUUCACUUCGGUGGAGUGUUAUAGCUUCUGCUGAUAUUGCCUGUCUGGAUCGAGGGCUGCGUCUUUUGACUAGGAUGCUGGCGUAAUGAUCUAAUGCCGCCCGU